CGAACGGGUGAGUAAUGAAUCGCUAACGUGCCCCGGACACUGGGAUAGCCGCCCGAAAGGACGGGUAAUACCAGAUGACAUGACCGACCCGCAUGGGUUGGUCCUCAAAGGUCCGCCGGUCUGGGAGCGGGCGAUUUCGUAUCAGCUAGUUGGUGCGGGUAACGGCCCACCAAGGCGACGACGCGUAGCCGGACUGAGAGGUUGGCCGGCCACAUUGGGACUGAGACACUGCCCAG
rnacentral:rRNA from 1 species